AACAUCUGUGUCCAUGUGAGUGUAUUUAAGUGUUUCACAUUGUGGCGGCAUGAAUGAGUCACACUUUGGCGGUGUGAAUUAUCCAGAAGAAAAAAAAGUGAAAUAUCAACUAAAAUGACUUUUUGUUUUCCAGCAAGAGACCUCUGUUAUACAUAUGCACAGACUGGAUGUCAUGCAUCCACUCAGUGGGAGAACAAAAAUCUAGGGUGAGAUACUUACUCCACCAAGGCCAGGAGGUCCAGGGGGGCCUGGGGGCCCAGGAAGACCAGGCUGUCCAGGGAUUCCGUCAUUGCCGGGAGGGCCAGGAAGACCCUGUUUGAGAUCAACAGAAAGGAAAAUUAGGAUUUAAGUGAAUGAGGCAGAUGCAACACUAUGGACCAGACAGCUGUUGAGGAUAACAAAUUGCGCGUGGAGGAGAGUCUCCAAACCUGUGCCAACUUGUCUCCAAAGGCUCGCGCAUGCAGAGCGUGAAAAGGCCCAGUGGGUCUAAUGCACAUCCAGACUGAACAAACUUUCUUCCCCCAUUCCAAGGGAAAACAUGAUCUAUGCUUAAGGCUAUAGGAAGACGCCUGCAUAACUUAUUCAGUCCUGAGAGAGUAAUUUCUCUCUGCAGCAUCACAUAAUAGCCUCACCGCUUCACUUUUGCACCCACUAACCUCCAGCAAAAGCUUGAAAAGUUGUAGAAAGUUAU